UUCAGGUGUUAAGGGUGAGCCUGGUAAAUAUUGACGGGCUGCUGAAGUUUUUUGUGGAUGGAAGAAACUGCUAAAGACCAGCCUUGUUGGUCAAGAAAUUAGGGCCUUCAAUACUAGAGAAAGGGGUAGGCUUCAGAAUCCCACAGCUAGCUUCAUGUCCUGACUCCAACGGUUAGGAUUUGUGCAGGUUACUUGGAGUUAAUUCCACCAUGGUCUGGCACCUGCCUACCUUCCAGCCUCACCAUUACAACUAUCCCCGCUUCCUUCUCUACUAACUACAUAGACCUUCUUGUAGUUCCUCUAGUUCCUCUAACAAACCGUGCUCCCUGUAGACACUGGGCCUUUACACAAGCUCUUUCCCAGUGGAAAGUGCUCAAUGCCUGGGGGUCUACGAUGCUUCUCAAAGGUGUUCUCUUCUAUGUCUGACCUAUAGAAAACCUCCACAUAUAUUUGUGUAACAUAUAAACUGAUGGCCUAAAUAUACUGCGAAGAGAAGCACAACAACGGUAAAUUUAAUCUUUAUUAAAACAGCUACCAUUUCUCGAGCCUACCGUGUAUCACCUCAUCUAAUCUUCACAAUAAGCCCAGUAGAUAGGUCUGAUGAACACCAUUUUACAGUGAAGAAACAGGUUCUGAGAGGUAAGAUCCUCAGCCAAGAACACAUUGUAGUAAGAAAUAAGGACUUCAAACACAACUCUGACUCCAAAGUCAGUUCUCUAAACCAGUAUGUUAUACUUGUCCACAGAACAUUGGCUUCUGGGCCUAAAAUAUUAAAAACUAAAACUGAAUAAAGUAUUAUAGUCACCAAGUUGUACGCACUAGUUUCCGUCGCUGUGGAGGGACCUAUUUUCUCCAACUAAAAACAGUAAUAGCUCCCACUUACUGAGGGCUUACGUAAGACACUGUUUAGCGCUUUACUUACAUAGAUGUUUUCAUUUAUACCCGCAUGAUACCCCACUGAAGUCGGAUCAUCUCGACUUAACAGGAAAAACUGAAGCUCAAGUAAAUUUUUCUGGCGAGGAAAUACAGUCUGUCAAUUUGGGUACUGGAAGCAGCUUUCCCUGCUCGCAGUCCGGGGAUUGCUCAAGGUCUUCGAGGCACCGCCACAAAGGCGACACUCUCAUAGUUAUCCCGACUGUUUCCCUGAAGACGCAGGCCUGGCCUGGCAGGGCACGAGUGCCAUGAAUGGGUCUCAGGACAGUGGCUUUUCGGUCCCCCGUCCUCGCUCCCUCAACACCUGAGGGCUCAUCACCCCCGUGAAGAUAUAUCCAAUAAUUAGGAGCCUUCGACUCAUUUUCUCAGGUUCCCCAACUCCCCGUCGCCCGCAAGUUCUAACAAUAUUUUCUUACCCAGCCCCGCCGCAGCUAGCCCCAAGUCCAUCCGACAGAAUCCAAGCCAAUCUCGUAAUGUUUACUUCCGGCUUUUCGCCUAAUUCCGGCGGCCACUGCGGUAACUUCCGGAUGACCGGCACAUGCGCACUAAUUUCCUGGCGGGGCCGGGGGCGGAGGGGGGCCCUCCAGUGCUCCUGCGCCGUGGGAAACGCGAGAACUCUAGCUGCUGCGUAUCGCGCUAUUUACCCGGCUUGUGGGGAGUUUCAAGUUGGGCGGCUACUUUUUGGCUUCUAUUUAGGAGCUUUCUUUUAGAAUCGGAGAAUUUUAGGAAGUUAAAAAAAAAAAAAAAAGACCAGAACAGACAAGAGCUUAAGCCUCACCAGGGGACUAUGAAAUGAAUGGGGAAGUUGGUGACGUAUCAGCUUAAAAAAAAAAAAAAAGCAGUUAAACUUGGCACUAAUUAGUAGCCAGGCUGUGUAACAUGCUGGGGAUUUGGUGAACAGUGUCUUCCCUCAGAUUUACAUCAGAGUGCGAAAGACACCGAAACAACUAUUCAGAUUUAGCAGCUGUGAAAAGUUGCUAUGAAAAGAAUACCAGGUGCUGUGAGAACAUAAGGCAUGUUAUCAUUAGAAAAAAAUACGACAAUUUCCAUUUUGGAGAAACAGUAUCUAUGCUAUCCCAUCCCUUCUUUAAAAGUAUACAUGUGAAAUAAAACACUGGAAAAUAAACUAAUUUUCGUGGUAGAAUUUCUUGUGAUUUUUUUUUUUCUUUGUGCUUUCUAUUCUGGUUGUUCUCCCCCUCCCCCCCAUAACGUGUAUCCUUUUUGAAUGUAAAAGUAAAAGUAGCUACCAUUCCUGCCUCAAUAAAAUAGCCCAACAUAAUAGAAUCUAUUUUUUUCGUAUUAAGAAUUUGCAAUACCUGGAGUUUAGGAACAUAAAUAUUAAUUUUGCUUUUACAGGGCAGUAGAUGAAGAAACAGUGUCAGAGACUAGCGUGAAAGUG
rnacentral:lncRNA from 1 species